CACGUAGGGCGCGAGCGUUGUCCGGAAUUAUUGGGCGUAAAGAGCUCGUAGGCGGCCUGUUGCGUCCGCUGUGAAAGCCCGGGGCUUAACCCCGGGUCUGCAGUGGAUACGGGCAGGCUAGAGGUAGGUAGGGGAGAAUGGAAUUCCCGGUGUAGCGGUGAAAUGCGCAGAUAUCGGGAGGAACACCGGUGGCGAAGGCGGGUCUCUGGGCCGAUACUGACGCUGAGGAGCGAAAGCGUGGGGAGCGAACAGG
rnacentral:rRNA from 1 species